GACCGAGUCAUAGAGCGCCAGGAAGAGGCAGUUGGAGAAAAAAACUGGCAGAAUUUGCAGUGUGAUCAGCAAGUCUACGCUGAGGAUACCCAUCUUCUCUGCCUCCUGAAUCCUAUCAGUAAUAGCAAGGAAUAGAGACCUGGGGAUAUUCAUUCUUUACUUUCCAAUUGAUGGACAAUUAGAAGAUGCAUGUACCACAAGGUGUGAUGUGAAUCACCAACUAGGUCAUAGGACCCUUCAGAGAAAAGCAAAUGAUAAGAAUUUUCAGUAUAUAAAAAUGCCAGGGCAAUCUGCUUUCUAUGAUCAGACACCAAAGAGCUAAACAUUGAGUGAUAUCCAGCUUUAUGAGACACAUAAAAAUGAAAUAAAAAUGGGUAAGAAGAUAAACACUUAAAGAGAUAAACACUGUCAAACAGAAAUGAUUACAAAGUUUGUAACAAUCUGCAUUUUUUAUUGUUUUCUGUUUACCUGACUUUCACCACUGUGAAUUUCUUUCUGUUCAUUUCCUUUCUUUUAAUAAUGUGUGUUCCCAUAACCAUUGACAUUAAAGUAAAGAAUGUGAACCAAGACUCAUUCGAUAUUUAUUGGAGAAAUAAAAGAAACUGGAAAAUG